rnacentral:rRNA from 1 species
CCUACGGGUGGCUGCAGUGGGGAAUAUUGGACAAUGGGGGCAACCCUGAUCCAGCCAUGCCGCGUGUGUGAAGAAGGCCCUCGGGUUGUAAAGCACUUUCAGUGAGGAAGAACGCCUGGUGGUUAAUACCCAUCAGGAAAGACAUCACUCACAGAAGAAGCACCGGCUAACUCCGUGCCAACAGCCGCGGUAAUACGGAGGGUGCGAGCGUUAAUCGGAAUUACUGGGCGUAAAGCGCGCGUAGGUGGCUUGAUAAGCCGGUUGUGAAAGCCCCGGGCUCAACCUGGGAACGGCAUCCGGAACUGUCAAGCUAGAGUGCAGGAGAGGAAGGUAGAAUUCCCGGUGUAGCGGUGAAAUGCGUAGAGAUCGGGAGGAAUACCAGUGGCGAAGGCGGCCUUCUGGACUGACACUGACACUGAGGUGCGAAAGCGUGGGUAGCAAACAGGAUUAGAUACCCGAGUAGUC